rnacentral:rRNA from 1 species
UGCCAGCAGCCGCGGUAAUACGGAGGAUGCGAGCGUUAUCCGGAUUUAUUGGGUUUAAAGGGUGCGUAGGCGGACCAAUAAGUCAGUGGUGAAAUCCUGCGGCUCAACCGUAGAACUGCCAUUGAUACUGUUGGUCUUGAAUUUAGUUGAGGUAGGCGGAAUGUGUUGUGUAGCGGUGAAAUGCAUAGAUAUAACACAGAACACCGAUUGCGAAGGCAGCUUACUAAGCUAUAAUUGACGCUGAUGCACGAAAGCGUGGGUAGCGAACAGGAUUAGAUA